AGAUACAAAGUCAAGGUGGAUGUUUCGUUAUUUCAAAAAACAGAUGAGGCCCCAACAAUGUCGGCCGUUAGAACAGAUGAUUCUAAGCAGAAAAGGGAAUAUAUCUUUCAUUUCUACGAUCCGAUGGAUCAGUGUGCCGUUAUAACAUUCAAAGACUACUCAGGCACCUGGAGAUGUGAACUACAUACUUGGAAAGAGAAAGCAUAUCAAUGGAAUUACAAAAACUGCGAAGAAGAAUAUGACUACCAAUGCCCUGGGCGCAAAAGUCACAGCGUUUACUUAUAUUACUGUCCAGAGUAAAAGGAUAAAAUCGGAGAGCAAAAUAUAUUUCUUAAACAAGCUUUUUAAAAUAUAUCAUUUGUUUUCCUCUGU